CGCCACGAGGCGAGCAGUUGAGUGUUCCCUAGAGUACCCGUCUCUCCGCCGCCGCCUGCAACCGCUUCACGUGCCCUAAUCCCUCGCAGCUCCCCUUUCCGACCCCAAAUGGAGCCCAAGAAGUCCUCCGCUCAGCACCAGCCUCACGCCAUGGAGCCGAAGAAGUCCUCUCCCCGCGGCGCCGGAGCCGCCGCCGCCGCCGCCAACGACGCCGAGUCCCCGUUGAGCAGCUUGUUCUACCCGCCGGCACCAGGGGCAAAUGGGAAAGAUCAGGACUUGUACAGCAUUCUCUACAAAGGGCAGAGCGGCAGCGCACAACCUGGCAUGACAGAUGGUAAACCCCAAUGGACUCCUUCCAAGAGUCGUUCCACAUACACCAAGGAUAGUAAACAUUCACUGCCACAUGAUUCGGUUGAUACAUCUUGUUUUGGGUCAUCUGUGCAUUAUGGUGGUCGAGAUUAUUUCUACGGCAGCUCUACAACCAAGCAAGGGACAGAAUCCUCCACUAAUUACAAGGCGGACAAGAAGGAUCCAGCCGCAGAUUCUCAUGGCGACUGGUGGCAAGGCUCAUUUUACUACUAGGUGAUCUGGGGGCCUCUCCCUUGGAGAACAAGGUAAAUGGGGGAAGAUCCUGUUACUGUUUGGGCUACCAAGUUUAAUGCUAUGCUCUGCCUUUACAUAUGUUAUUCACUUUACAUUUUUGUACCAGUGAAUAUCCUUUUCCAAUGCCAUAUUAACAUCAGCAGCUGAUAGUUCGUACAUGUUGACCUGUCCUGUUCAUCACGUGUUAUCUUAGUUCUUUAGAUAGAAAAGGAACAUAUGCUCUCUCCUUUUUUUCCCCCAAAAGUCAGAACAUACAGUUAUAGCAUGACACAAGUUUCUCGAAGGUUUUCUAUGCAAGGAAAUCAAGUUUCUAUUGACAUCUGUAGGGAUAAGUGUCCGAACAACUUUUGCCUAAAAAAAGAUUUCCAACCAAUUCAUAGUACAUCCUAAAUGACUCAGAGUUCAACGCUUAGUCUAUUUACAUGUCUACCUUUCCUGUUUGCAGUAUUAACCUAUCAAAAGAAAACUUAUUUAUUUGUGCACUUUGCGCUUUUAUCAAAGCUUGGUAGAUAAUUAUUUUUCUGCAGAACUAGCUGCCAAAUUGAUGUGCAAUGAUGUACUUGUGGAGACAGGCUAAGGAACUAAAAGGGGGAGACAGUGAAGUUCGAUUUCCUUGACUAUUGGUAGUGUCAUCAGUUACCUGCAUCAUAGUGGACCCGCUUUCGUCCAAUGGUGGUGCCAAUAUUUAGAAGCGUCACCACACCUGGGCAGAUGUAGUGUGUGUCUUUCAUAGUCGCUGCUUUAGAUGUGCAAUGUAAUGAAGUAGCACAGUAUGAGUUAGGUUGCAUAAAAAGGUCCCUGUCCAAUCUGCCAAUAAUAUCAAGCAGUUUGGUAUCUGACUCCCUAGAGUCAAAUGUAUGUACAAUUGGGUCGUCGCUCCAAAGCAAAAUAUAAAAUAAAAUGCUGGAGAAGCGGUGAUCACUUCAUUGCACACCUUUACCAUC